UUUAGUGGGGGAUAGCUCGGGGAAACUCGAAUUAAUACCGCAUACGACCUACGGGUGAAAGGGGGCGCAAGCUCUUGCUAGAAGAUGAGCCUAAAUCAGAUUAGCUAGUUGGUAGGGUAAAGGCCUACCAAGGCGACGAUCUGUAACUGGUCUGAGAGGAUGAUCAGUCACACCGGAACUGAGACACGGUCCGGACUCCUACGGGAGGCAGCAGUGGGGAAUAUUGGACAAUGGGGGGAACCCUGAUCCAGCCAUGCCGCGUGUGUGAAGAAGGCCUUUUGGUUGUAAAGCACUUUAAGUAGGGAGGAAUAGUUAUUGGUUAAUACCCAAUGAUGAUGACGUUACCUACAGAAUAAGCACCGGCUAACUCUGUGCCAGCAGCCGCGGUAAUACAGAGGGUGCGAGCGUUAAUCGGAAUUACUGGGCGUAAAGCGAGUGUAGGUGGCUUAUUAAGUCACAUGUGAAAUCCCUGGGCUUAACCUAGGAACUGCAUGUGAUACUGGUGAGCUAGAGUAUGUGAGAGGAAAGUAGAAUUCCAGGUGUAGCGGUGAAAUGCGUAGAGAUCUGGAGGAAUACCGAUGGCGAAGGCAGCUUUCUGGCAUAAUACUGACACUGAGACUC
rnacentral:rRNA from 1 species